rnacentral:rRNA from 1 species
UAGCGGAAGCACUGGUGGACUGCAUACGAGUGAGAAUGCCGGAAUAAGUAGCGAGAAUUAUGUGGGAAUCAUAAUGGCCGAAAAUCUAAGGUUUCCUGGGGAAGGUUCGUCCGCCCAGGGUUAGUCGGGAGCUAAGCUCAGGCCGAAAGGCGUAGGCGAUGCACAUACGGUAGAAAUUCCGUAACCACCGAACUUUAAGCUAGAGGGACGCUUUCUUCAAGGUUAUCCCGGGCGAUGGUUGCCCCGGGCGUAAGGGACCGAAAUUUAGUAGGGAAGUAACUGGCGAGAGAGACGAGAAGAGCUCUAGUGUAUACUAAGGUGCCCGUACCGCAAACCGACACAGGUAGAAGGGAUGAGUAUUCUAAGGCCAACGGGAGAAGGGUUGUUAAGGAACUCGGCAAAUUGGCCCCGUAACUUCGGGAUAAGGGGCGCCUGCGAGAGCAGUCCGCAGUGAAAAGGCCCAAGCGACUGUUUAGCAAAAACACAGCUCUCUGCUAAAUCGAAAGAUGACGUAUAGGGGGUGACGCCUGCCCGGUGCUGGAAGGUUAAGGGGAGUGCUUAGCGCAAGCGAAGGUGCGAACUUAAGCCCCAGUAAGCGGCGGCCGUAACAAUAACGGUCCUAAGGUAGCGAAAUUCCUUGUCAGGUAAGUUCUGACCCGCACGAAUGGCGUAACGAUUUGGGCACUGUCUCAACAGCCCGCCCGGCGAAAUUGUAGUACCGGUGAAGAUGCCGGUUUCCCGCAACUAGACGGAAAGACCCCAUGGAGCUUCGCUGUAGCUUGAUAUUGGACUUCGGUAUUCCAUGUACAGGAUAGGUGGGAGGCUAGGAAGCGAGCGCGCCAGCGUUCGUGGAGCCGUCCUUGGGAUACCACUCUUGGGAUAUUGGAGUUCUAACCUGCGACCAUGAAUCUGGUCGGGGGACAUUGUCAGGUGGGCAGUUUGACUGGGGCGGUCGCCUCCAAAAGAGUAACGGAGGCGCUCAAAGGUUCGUUCAGCACGGACGGAAAUCGUGCACUGAGUGUAAACGCAUAAACGAGCCUAACUGCGAGAAUGACGGUUCGAGCAGUAACGAAAGUUGGAGUUAGUGAUCCGGCGGUAUGUGAAUGGAAAUGCCGUCGCUCAACGGAUAAAAGCUACCCUGGGGAUAACAGGCUGAUCUCCCCCAAGAGUCCACAUCGACGGGGAGGUUUGGCACCUCGAUGUCGGCUCAUCGCAUCCUGGGGCUGAAUUCGGUCCCAAGGGUUUGGCUGUUCGCCAAUUAAAGCGGUACGCGAGCUGGGCUCAGAACGUCGUGAGACAGUUCGGUCCCUAUCUGUUGCGGGCGCAGGAAUAUUGAGAGGAGCUGUCCUUAGUACGAGAGGACCGGGAUGGACGUACCGCUGGUGCACCAGUUGUUCUGCCAAGGGCAUAGCUGGGUAGCUAAGUACGGACGAGAUAAACGCUGAAGGCAUCUAAGCGUGAAACUCCCCUCGAGAUAAGUGUUCCCUUCCUUCGGGAGUAAGGUCCCUUGUAGACUACAAGGUUGAUAGGUCAGGAGU